AGCAGUGCCAGCCGCACGGCACGCAGGAGGCUCUCUCCAGCCAUGUUGCUCGAGGCUGCACAGUGGGUUCUGACCGUGGAGUUUGAAGCCUCCCUACCCCAGGAGCCUUGGGCCGUGGCUACAGCAUUGCAGGUGGCUGUGAGGCUGUAGAUGUGGGUGCACUGGUGUGCCAGUCCUCGGUUUGUGCACGCCAGGUGGAUCAGCUCAAGCUCAAGGUGAGUCGGCUGGAGGAAGAGUGUGCACUGCUUCGAAGGGCUAGGGGCCCGCCCCCUGGGGCAGAGGAGAAGGAGAAGGAGAAGGAGAAGGAGAAGGAGCCAGACAAUGUGGACCUUGUCUCCGAGCUGCGUGCUGAGAACCAGCGGCUGACAGCGUCGCUGCGGGAGUUGCAGGAGGGCCUGCAGCAGGAGGCGAGCCGGCCGGGGGCCCCGGGCUCCGAGCGCAUCCUGCUGGACAUCCUAGAGCAUGACUGGCGGGAGGCGCAGGACAGCAGGCAGGAGCUGUGCCAGAAGCUGCACGCCGUGCAGGGGGAGCUGCAGUGGGCCGAGGAGCUGCGCGACCAG
rnacentral:sRNA from 1 species